UCAGCGACUGGGGUGAAGUCGUAACAAGGUAGCCGUAGGGGAACCUGCGGCUGGAUCACCUCCUUUCU
rnacentral:rRNA from 1 species